GCAGGUGUCGCCAUUUUUACUAGCGUUGUCUGGGAAUAGCCGUGAGCUGCGGUUUGGAGACCAGUUGAUUUGGUGAACAUUGACGGUUCCCGCAUCCCUCACAGUAGGGCGCAGGUCGCUUUACGUGGGUGAACGGGCCUCGCUUAGCAAAACAUUCAGUGCCAGAGAUGUCGCACUUUUUGCUGAGCUGACGGGGGACACGAAUCCUCUCCACCUCGACCCCGAAUACACCAAAACAACCUCUUUCGAGACCCCCAUUGUUCACGGAGUGCUGAUUAAUGGUCUGAUCUCAGCAAUUCUGGGGACAAAGUUGCCCGGCAAAGGCUGCGUGUUUCUCUACCAGGAAAUACGCUUUCCGGCGCCCCUCUACAUCGGAGAGGAGGUUGUGGCAGAAGCGGAGGUCAAAAAGAUCAAAAUGUCCUUUGCUUUUAUUUCUGUUUCCUGCGCUGCCAAAGACAAAGUGGUCAUGGAGGGAGAGGUCAUGGUCAUGAUGCCGCAAGACGCACAACACUCAUGAGAAACCUGAGUGAAUGCUGCCGUUCAGUUUUUUAUGUGCUGACAGGAAUGAAAUGUUCUUUCUUGCUUAUUAUUGUUCUUUUGAAAUGUAACACUCACUCAGAGAUUUAAUAUUUCUUGUUUUUUGUUCUCUGAGAAGUUGUUUGAAUAAAAAAUAGUGUGAGAAAAUAAACCACCCUUUGGCUUAGUUCUUUGGUGUGGGCAAUAACUAGCUGUGUCCAACCUCAACAAAGACAUCAUUUUAUGUUACUUAAAACAGUAAUUCAAAAUUGUAAGGUUAACAUAAUAGUGGUAAAAUUACAUUAGAUUAACCAGCAAACUUCUUCCAGUAUAGCUUUCUCCACAAGAUCUUUAACCGAGAUCAAAUAACCUUUGUCCUCAGUCCUUACAUUUUUCGCUUGCUUUCUCUUUUGAUUAGUUGAAGAAAUAUAUGUGUGUAGAUUUACAUGUAGUAUUUACAUAAUGCUUGUCGAUUAACUGUAUUACACUAAACUAUAUUAAUUACUGAACUAUAUAUUAUACUUUUUCCUUUGUUUUAAUAUUUGGCUUUGCUUUAUGUUUGCACAUUAUGUGUAAAUAAAUACAUGCAUUUCUGAUGUUC